UACGAAGGGGGCUAGCGUUGUUCGGAAUUACUGGGCGUAAAGCGCACGUAGGCGGAUUUGUAAGUCAGGGGUGAAAUCCCGGGGCUCAACCUCGGAACUGCCUUUGAUACUGCAAGUCUCGAGUCCGAUAGAGGUGAGUGGAAUUCCUAGUGUAGGGGUGAAAUUCGUAGAUAUUAGGAAGAACACCAGUGGCGAAGGCGGCUCACUGGAUCGGUACUGACGCUGAGGUGCGAAAGCGUGGGGAGCAAACAGG
rnacentral:rRNA from 1 species